ACAAAGUACAUAUAUUUUUCUUUUCAUUGACUGUUCAUAUUUUCAGAGAGAAAUUCAAUUAAAAAACCCUAACAUCACGCUUACUCUUAUCCUCUUAGGCCUUAGCAGAAGAUCCUAAUCUCGUCUUCCACCAUCAAGGUAAUCCAGAAGUCUAAACUCUAAAGCAUCACAAUAAAUGAAGACGUCUCUAGUAAUGCAAGCAAAAAAUAUUUUGCAUGGAAAUAUACAAUCGUGACUCCAGAUGAGAAGUACUUUAAAUGUAGAUUCUGUGAACAUACUUGUAGCGGCACGCUUAAUAGGCUUAAGCAUCAUAUAGCAGGCACCCAUAAAGGAAUAAAUCCUUGUCUUAAAGUUCCAAAGCGGAAGAAUGCAAGAAAGCAUUAUUGAAGGUUCAAAAUUUGAAAACUAUGCGAAGUGCUACUUUAGAAGAAAUGAGAAGGGUUGCAACUGGAAGUAGUAACAUAGGCAGUGAAGCAGGUUCCUGUCAAAUUAGUGAAAAUCUACUUUCAACGGCUAGAGGUUCGAUAAAUAAUUUUGUGAAUACUCAAGCAAGACAAGUUACUUUGAACUCAAAAUGGAAAAAAGAAGAAAGAAAAGAAGUUUGUCAGCGAAUUGGUAGGUUUUCCUUCUCAAGUGGUAUUCCAUUUAAUAUUGCAAAUGAUCCAUGCUAUUUGCCUAUGUUUGAAGGAGUUGCUAAUUAUGGCCCUGGUUUUGUGCCUCCUUCAAUGUUUGAGUUGAGAACUUUUAUACUAAAAGAUGAGGUUACAAAUAUUAACAAGAUGUAAGAUGAAUAUAAGAAAUCUUGGAAACAGUAUGGUUAUUCUAUUUUGUCUGAUAGUUGGACAGAUGGUAAAAAGAGAUGUUUUAUAAACUUUUUGACUAACAGCCCGGCAGGUACUUUCUUUUUAAGAUCGAUUGAUGCUUCUGAUUAUAUAAAAAAAUGGUGAAUUGCUUGUAUGAAGUUGGAGAAGAGAAUGUCGUGCAGAUAAUAACCGAUAAUGGUAUUAAUUUUAUGAAUGCCGAAAAAAGAAUAAUGGAAACUCGAUCUCAUGUUUACUGGACACCGUGUGUUGCACAUUGUAUUGAUCUCUUGUCGGAAGACAUAGGAAAGUCAAAAAUUCAUAAAGAAACACUUAGAAAGCAAAAGAAGUAGUGAGAUUUAUUUAUGGACAUACUUGGGUGUUGGAUUUAAUGAGAUCAUUUACAAAUAAUCAUGACCUUCUUCGUCCUGUUGUUACUCGCUUUGCUACGGCUUAUCUCACACUUCAAAGCAUCCAAAAGAAAAGACAAGGUCUUAGAUCUAUGUUUUCUUCCGAAGCUUGGAAAAAAUUCGCUUAGUCUGAGAAACAUGAAGGGGUUAAAACAAGAUCUACAAUUUUGUAUCAUCAAAAUUUUUGGACAUAUAUUGCUUAUUGUGUGAAAUGUGUUUCUCCUUUGGUUAGUGUUUUGAGGGAACUAGAUUCAGAGGAAAAACCAUGCAUGGGGCAUUUGUAUGAUUUGAUGAAUAAGGCUAAGGAAAAUAUAUCUAUAAAUUUUGGAUAUAAUGAAAAAAGUAUGGUCCCAUUUCGAAAAGAAUUGAUGAAAGAUGGACUCGCCAAUUCAAUCGUCCACUUCAUGUUGCUGGAUAUUAUUUGAAUCCCCAAUUACGAUUUGAGGAAAGAUUUUCUCUUGAUUUUGAAGUGAAAAACAAUUGUAUAUGUGAAUGGAAAGAAUGUUUUAUUAUGAAGAAAGAUUCAAAGUGGAUAUUCAAUUAGAUUCAUAUGACUAGUUGAAAGGAGAAUUUGGAUUUCAAAUAGCUAUGGAUUCUAGAAAAUUGAGAUCUCCGGCAGAUUGGUGGAUGCGCUUUGGAGGCCAGACUCCGGACUUGACUAAAGUUGUAGUUCAUGUCUUGAGUCUCACGUGCAGCUCCUUGGGUUCUGAAAGAAAUUGGAGUGCCUUUGAGUCGAUCCAUAUCAAAAAGAGAAAUAGACUUGAGCAUCAUAGGCUAAAUGCUCUUGUUUAUGUAAGAUACAACACUAGACUAAGAGAAACGAGCAUCAAAAGAAAAUUGCAAAAAAUGGAUCCAGUUCUUGUUAAUGAAAUUGAUUCUGAUGAUGAAUGGAUUACUGAGAAAGAAGAUCCUCUGCUUCCUGAAGACCCUUCUUGGCUUGAUGAAGAGAAUUUAUUGAUGUUGAUGUUGUUAGAAAUGUGCCGCUUACACCAUAUGAGAAUGAUCUUUUACAUGAAGCGAAUAUUGGUAGUUUAAGAGAUAUAAGUGAAGUAGGUCCCUCUGCAAAAAAACAAAAGACAUCAGAAACAUAAAUGCAAUUUGAGGUUGAUGACACUAAUGAAGGAUUAGUAGAUGUCGAGAUUGAUGAGGACGACCUCAUAUUUGAUAGGCGAUGGAUAGAUGUGGUACUUUUUAGACUUUUAAACAAAACUUCCCCAAUCAGAUGCAAUUGGGAUUUUAAUUACUGCAAAGCUAAUAUGUGAAUAAUAACUUUUUUGAAACAAAGGCAAGAGACAUCAAGAAAAGCAAGUUAUAUGGCUUCAAGGAUAAACUGGCAAUGCAGUCCAACUAGGCCUAUGGAGGCUCUUGACAUUAGGAAUAAGAUUAAUUUUUUUUGUGUUAAACUAUUGAAAAAAUUGUUGUGUCUUUAUGCAAGAUGAGUGCGUGUUAGCUUUUAAUGAUGUACUAGUGAGUUCAUGACCAUAUAUUUUUUGCUGCACAAAUUUAUCUUAUGUUGUUUAAUAACAAAUAGAGUUUUUGACCUCUCA